rnacentral:rRNA from 1 species
AUACGUAGGUGGCAAGCGCUAUCCGGAUUUACUGGGCGUAAAGGGAGCGUGGGCGGAUUUUUAAGUGAGAUGUGAAAUACUCAGGCUUAACCUGAGUGCUGCAUUUCAAACUGGAUAUCUAGAGUGCAGGAGAGGAGAAUGGAAUUCCUAGUGUAGCGGUGAAAUGCGUAGAGAUUAGGAAGAACACCAGUGGCGAAGGCGAUUCUCUGGACUGUAACUGACGCUGAGGCUCGAAAGCGUGGGGAGC